GGGUAUGACUGGAUGAUUUCAGCCAAAUUUAUUAUGAAAAUCAGGAGCAAAAAGAAACAGAGUGAAAAAAUUUGGAAAAUCUGCAGUUGGCUGAAAAAGGAGCACAAUUAAAGGUGCUGCCAAGGAGGGUGCAGUUGCUAAAGGGAUUGGCACCAUUAGAAGAAGCCAAGUACUUUACACCAGGACAGUAAGAAAGACGCCUCGAAGGCCCUCAGGAAUCAGCAGGACCUUACCCAUCCCAGCUUCAAAAGUAGAAAGGUGUCAACUUGUUUCACAGAGUUUCUUUGGGGAAGAGAGCCCCAAAGAACUGUGCUGCCCCAGGGCCACCUGGAGAGUUGUUUCCCUGAGAUUCAUGUCCCAGCUACAGGCAGAAAGGCACUCACAGUCAGCUACAGCCAUGGUCCACACAGGCUGCGGCUCAGCUCUCACGGGUGGGCGCCUGGGGUCAUGCGUGUGGUGCUGGAUUUGCAGAUACGUUGAACGUAAGAGUUGUGAGGUUGGGGCUGGGGCCGUGGCUCAGUGGUAGAGCACUCAUCUAGCACGUGUGAGGCGCUGGGUUC
rnacentral:lncRNA from 1 species